UGUAAUAAAAAGGUCUUUUAUUUUCAACAGUAAAUGCUGGAUUCACUAUACAAAUCGAUUAGCAGUCUAUGAUCAAGUUCACAAAACUCACAUGACAUUGAAAGCGGUAAUAUAAUAUGUAAAGCCAAGAUGAUAAAUGUACACACACACACACACGUAUAAAAUUGGUUAGAUUCCUUAGCUAUACAGAGAUGGAUAGAUGGAUAGACAGAUAAUCAUGUUGGUUUCAGAUGUAAUGUUAUUGCCUUCAAUGACAUUUUGUUCCAAGACAUUUAAAAUCAGUCCCCAAAAGCAGCUGUAAAGGCAAUCACAAAACCCAGUUUAGUCUGAUUCACAAACUGUCAAUGGUUUUUCAGACUGCAAGGAAGACAACUUACUCAGAGCAUCAUUUUACCAAUACCUCAACACAUCUUUACACAGUGUGAUCCCAUUCCAUGAAAUGAUAUCACUUAAUGAAGUUGGUUAUAAUAAUGCUCCCCCAUUUGAACAAGGUCUCAAAAUUAAAUGAACUAUUUAAUUAACCACUGCUGGUAUUGCAUUUGUUUGACAAAGCAGUAAUGAUUUGCGCUGGAUAAAUGUGGCUGAAAUCUAGUUGUCCUCUUUAUGAGACCAUGUAGUGUCAGUGAGACUUGGCAUUAGUCUGCACACAGCUGCAAGCACAGUGUGGACCCUGUCAUUAACCUGCUGGAGGCUCUUUCACCUCAGACAACUGCAGCAUGACAGCACAGGACACGAGAACUGUGGUGCCUUUCCAGGAGGCACCUUGAGGCUUGGGUUGAAAUACCAUCCUGUCGAGCACUGAGUUUUAACCUGCUUCAGUUGCUCAGCCAGUGCAUCAGGCACCCAGGCAGAGGCAUGAGCUCUGAAUGCAGUCAUAGAAAAUCAUUAAAGGCUUAAUUUUAUGUUCUGAAUCAGAUCUUCUCUUAUUCAUAAUAUGUGCUAUAAAUAUGUGAGCACUGAGUCUAGGAUGAGAUAGUUUUACAAGGGAGAAGUAAGACAAGGAGUAGGAAAGGCAAGGGAGAAGGAAACUGAUUUUAGUUUCUUAUAUAGGUCUGUCUGUUCAGGCCUCCUUCUUUCUCGGAGAAGGAGAGAUUCUGAAUACAGUGACUGUGUUUAAGACCAUACAAUAUCAAGACAUUACAUACAUUGCAGUAUGUUUUAUGUAUAUUCUCUGGGUAAGUUUAUUUUUUCACAAAUGGAAUGAGCUUGCAAUUUUCUGGAGUCACAAGAGGCCACUGAGACCUUUCCUAUUCAAUCCUGAGUAAGAGUAAUUGAAGAAAUAGCUAUGGGCCUCAAAAUCAAAGUUUGCAGCAUUUUCAGUGCACUGCAUACGCUGGUUUUCACACAGCCUUGUGUUUUCCCCCAUGUCUCUCCUCCGUCUCCAAUAAGCUUACACUUCACUCCACCAUGCCCAAUAUAGGAAUAAGAGCAGGGAAAUGUUUCUAUUCCUGUCUUUGCCACUGACUCACUGUAUAGUUUCUUAAGUGUUUGCAUC
rnacentral:lncRNA from 1 species